rnacentral:sRNA from 1 species
UUUUUUUUUGGUUUUGAGAUUUUAAAUAGGAGCCGUUUGCCAACCACGUGG